AAGACCUUGCGCUUUUGGAGCGGCCGAUGCCUGAUUAGCUUGUUGGUAUGGUAAAAGCUUACCAAGGCUUCGAUCAGUAGCUGGUCUGAGAGGACGGCCAGCCACACUGGGACUGAGACACGGCCCAGACUCCUACGGGAGGCAGCAGUGGGGAAUUUUGGACAAUGGGGGCAACCCUGAUCCAGCCAUGCCGCGUGAGUGAAGAAGGCCUUCGGGUUGUAAAGCUCUUUCAGCCGGAACGAAACGGUUACGGUUAAUACCCGUGAUUACUGACGGUACCGGAAGAAGAUGCACCGGCUAACUACGUGCCAGCAGCCGCGGUAAUACGUAGGGUGCGAGCGUUAAUCGGAAUUACUGGGCGUAAAGCGUGCGCAGGUGGUUUUGUAAGUCAGAUGUGAAAGCCCCGGGCUCAACCUGGGAACU
rnacentral:rRNA from 1 species